rnacentral:rRNA from 1 species
GAAACCGGCNAACGGGUGCGUAACACGUGAGGAACCUGCCCCGAAGACCGGGAUAGCCCGAGGAAACUCGGAUUAAUACCGGAUACCCUCUUUGGACCACAUGGUCCAUUGAGGAAAUGGUCCGCCGCUUCGGGAUGGCCUCGCGGCCUAUCAGCUUGUUGGUGAGGUAAUGGCUCACCAAGGCCGAGACGGGUAGCUGGUCUGAGAGGACGAUCAGCCACACUGGGACUGAGACACGGCCCAGACUCCUACGGGAGGCAGCAGCAGGGAAUAUUGCACAAUGGGCGAAAGCCUGAUGCAGCGACACCGCGUGCGGGAUGAAGGCCUUCGGGUUGUAAACCGCUUUCAGGAGGGACGAAAAUGACGGUACCUCCAGAAGAAGGCCCGGCCAACUACGUGCCAGCAGCCGCGGUAAUACGUAGGGGCCAAACGUUGUCCGGAUUUAUUGGGCGUAAAGAGCUNGUAGGCGGUNCNAUAANUNUUUCNUGAAAACCCGGGGCUC